rnacentral:tRNA from 1 species
GAGGUAAUAGCUCAGUGGUAGAGUGCCUGCUUAGCAUGCACGAGGUCCUGGGUUCAGUCCCCAGUUCCUCCA